AUGACCAGCAAUUCAAGGUUCUCGAGGUACCUCCGAUCGUGCAAGAGCUGGUGGGCGCCGGCGUGCAGGAGCCACCGAGCCAGUACGUCCUUCCUGUGCAAGACCGUCCUGCCGCGGCGGUCUCCGAGAUGCCCGAGCCCAUCCCCAUCAUCGACCUCAGCCGGCUGUCUGCCGGCAGCGCCGAAGAGUUCGACAAGCUGCGGUCCGCCUUGGAGAACUGGGACCUCUUCCUGCUUUCUUGCCGAGGCGAUGAAGGUUACGAGAGAGUUCUUCAACCUCCCGCUGGAAGAGAAACAGAAGUACUCAAACAUUGUCGACGGCGAGAAGCUGGGCAUGGAUGGAUACGGUAACGACAUGGUCGUGAAAGAGAAUCAGGUCCUUGACUGGAACGACCGGCUCAAUCUCCUAGUGGAACCCGAGUCCCUGAGAACCUACAGACUGUGGCCAACACAACCCCCUUCUUUCAGAGACAUCCUGUCUGAGUACACCAUCAAGUGCAAAGCGGCGGCUAACCUUGUCUUUCGAAACAUGGCCAAGAUGCUCAAUUUACAAGAGGAACACCUGGUAAACAUGAUCGGCGACAACUCCAUCACCCAAGCUAUAUUCAACUACUACCCUCAGUGUCCAAGGCCGGACCACGUCUUGGGCCUCAAGGCCCACAUCGACGGCUCCAUAAUCACAGUCAACUUCGCCGACGCUGAGGGGCUCCAGCUUCAGAAAAACGGCGUCUGGUACAACGUGCCCAUCGUUCCAAAUGCAUUGGUCAUGAACGUAGGAGAUAUAAUGGAGAUUUUGAGCAAUGGGUUCUUCAAGAGCCUGGUGCAUAGGGUUGUGACCAAUGCAGAGAAAGAGCGCUUGUCGUUCGUCCUGGUCUAUACAUUGGAGCUAGAGACAGAGCUUGAGCCGGUGUCAGAGCUGGUGGAUGACAAGAGGCCUGCGCAAUACAUGAAGAUCAAGCUCCACGACUACAUGGAAAAAUAUCAUGACACUUAUGCCACAGGGACACUAGCCAUCGAUGGCGUGAAGAUCUGA
rnacentral:rRNA from 1 species